GACAGAGGAUGCAAGCGUUAUCCGGAAUGAUUGGGCGUAAAGCGUCUGUAGGUGGCUUAAAAAGUCUCCUGUCAAAGAUCAGGGCUUAACCCUGGGCCGGCAGGAGAAACUCUUAGGCUCGAGUUUGGUAGGGGCAGAGGGAAUUCCCGGUGGAGCGGUGAAAUGCGUAGAGAUCGGAAAGAACACCAACGGCGAAAGCACUCUGCUGGGCCGACACUGACACUGAGAGACGAAAGCUAGGGGAGCGAAUGGG
rnacentral:rRNA from 1 species